rnacentral:rRNA from 1 species
AACACAUGCAAGUCGAACGGUAGCACAGAGAGCUGCUCUCGGGUGACGAGUGGCGGACGGGUGAGUAAUGUCUGGGAAACUGCCCGAUGGAGGGGGAUAACUACUGGAAACGGUAGCUAAUACCGCAUAACGUCGCAAGACCAAAGAGGGGGACCUUCGGGCCUCUUGCCAUCGGAUGUGCCCAGAUGGGAUUAGCUAGUAGGUGGGGUAACGGCUCACCUAGGCGACGAUCCCUAGCUGGUCUGAGAGGAUGACCAGCCACACUGGAACUGAGACACGGUCCAGACUCCUACGGGAGGCAGCAGUGGGGAAUAUUGCACAAUGGGCGCAAGCCUGAUGCAGCCAUGCCGCGUGUAUGAAGAAGGCCUUCGGGUUGUAAAGUACUUUCAGCGAGGAGGAAGGCAUUAAGGUUAAUAACCUUAGUGAUUGACGUUACUCGCAGAAGAAGCACCGGCUAACUCCGUGCCAGCAGCCGCGGUAAUACGGAGGGUGCAAGCGUUAAUCGGAAUUACUGGGCGUAAAGCGCACGCAGGC